UACGGAGGGUGCGAGCGUUGUCCGGAAUCACUGGGCGUAAAGGGCGCGUAGGCGGCCGUGUAAGUCACUUGUGAAAUCCCGGGGCUCAACUCCGGGGCUGCAGGUGAGACUGCGUGGCUAGAGCACGGUAGAGGCGAGUGGAAUUCCCGGUGUAGCGGUGGAAUGCGUAGAUAUCGGGAAGAACACCGGUGGCGAAGGCGGCGACCUGGGUAGAUACUGACGCUGAGGUGCGAAAGCGUGGGGAGCAAACAGG
rnacentral:rRNA from 1 species